rnacentral:rRNA from 1 species
UCUCCUGGGAAAGGGUGGUAAUGCCGGAUGUUCCAGUUGAUCGCAUGGUCUUCUGGGAAAGCUUUCGCGGUAUGGGAUGGGGUCGCGUCCUAUCAGCUUGACGGCGGGGUAACGGCCCACCGUGGCUUCGACGGGUAGCCGGCCUGAGAGGGCGACCGGCCACAUUGGGACUGAGAUACGGCCCAGACUCCUACGGGAGGCAGCAGUGGGGAAUAUUGCACAAUGGGCGCAAGCCUGAUGCAGCGACGCCGCGUGAGGGAUGGAGGCCUUCGGGUUGUAAACCUCUUUUAUCGGGGAGCAAGCGUGAGUGAGUUUACCCGUUGAAUAAGCACCGGCUAACUACGUGCCAGCAGCCGCGGUAAUACGUAGGGUGCAAGCGUUAUCCGGAAUUAUUGGGCGUAAAGGGCUCGUAGGCGGUUCGUCGCGUCCGGUGUGAAAGUCCAUCGCUUAACGGUGGAUCCGCGCCGGGUACGGGCGGGCUUGAGUGCGGUAGGGGAGACUGGAAUUCCCGGUGUAACGGUGGAAUGUGUAGAUAUCGG